AGUCAAUAUUCUUUGAACCUCCCUCAAAGUAAUAGCUAUAAAUAGUCCUCGAAAAAAAUAUGAUGAAAUCAAUAUCCCUGUCUUAUGGAGCGUCCUCCGGCUUGACUCGGAAGAAAUGUAAAUGUAAGAAAGCCGCUCCUGGGUGGCCUAGCCCUCUCUGACCUGUAUUUCUGCAUCAAUAGGAGCUUCUAAUUCAUAUGAGGUAAGUUGUCUUCCACUUAGAAUUGAAAAGGGAAUCCCGUCGACGAACUAGUCUGAGCAUUGAAAGAGAAUUGAGCCAGCCAGCUGGACCCAAUUCUGAUGUCUUGCAUCAAGAAGCAGAUACUCGCAUACAAUUUCAUCGUUCUGUCUGGCCAUCAGUCUGAGGAUGGUAGCUUGAGGAUAUAUUCAGACUUGUCCAAGGUAAAUAAUUCUGUCCAGAAGGUAGCAAUGAAUCUCCCAUCUCUCUCGCUCACAAUACUCGUCGGGACGAGAUGCCUAAAGAAGAAGAGUGCUGUCAACUCGGCGGAAGACUGCUUGGUAGUGGGGAUGAAGGUGGCGUACUUCGAGAACCGGUCAAUGAUAAGCAAGAUGGCCUCAAGAUCGCCCACUUUUUGGAGAUGUGUAAUUCAGUCCAUGGAUACGCUCUCCCAUGGUCUUGUCGGAACAGGCAAGGGUUCUCGAAGCCCAGCAACUUUUGCUUUCUCGAUUUUGUCCUGUUGGCAGAUGAGGCAUGUCUUUGUAUACUGCAUGACGUCGUCUCUCAUAUUGGGCCAGAAGUAGCCCUUUUUCAGCAAAGCGUACGUCCUCUGCCAUCCAGGGUGGCCAGCCCACAGAGUGUCGUGACACUCGUGUAAUAAUCUCUUCCUUAUGUCCCCUGCUCUAGGCACAUACAGCCGAUUUCCUCUGGUUACUAAUAGGUCAUCUUCAACCCAAAACAGUCUUGUCUUACCAGCCUUAGCUAAGUUCAUGACUGUCUGAGCGGCGGGAUCUUUCUGCAAGAAUUCUCUCAAGACAUCACGCAUUGAGCCAUCGAUCUUACUCGUCUGAAGGUGAGCUAAGAUGCACAGGGCCGCAUCUUCGCUUUUCCGGCUCAGGGCAUCAGCUGCCCGCUUACUCGAUCCCUUCUUAUGUUCAAACUCUCAAUCAAACUCGGCCAGUCCUGCCACCUUGCUUGCUUCGAAGUCAAUUUCGGCUGAGUAAAGAAGUGGCAUGUAGCACUGUUGUCUGUCUUCACAACAAAUGUCGAACCCAGUAAAUACUGUCUCCAGGCCCUCAGGCAAUGUACCACUGCCAACAUUUCUUUUUCAGACACAGUAUAUCUCUUUUCUGCUGCAUUUAGUUUUCGGCUUUCGUAUGCGAUGGGGUGUCCAUUCUGCAGGAGAACACCGCCCAACGCAUAAUCAGACGCAUCGGUCUCAACUUCAAAAGGUUUUGUCACAUCAGCGAUCCCCAUCCCCAGAACUGGCCCUUCAAUCAUGGCUUGUUUCAGACCAUCGAAGGCGGCCUGAGAUUCGGGGGUCCAACUCCAUUGGAUGUCCUUCUUCAACAACUCCGUCAAUGGACUUGCCCUUUUUUUGAGAAUCCUUCCACGAAUCGCCUGUAGUAAUUAGCUAAUCCGAGAAAGGAAGGUAAUUCGGUGACUGACUUUGGUAUUCCCCAAUCACGUAUUGCAGCAAUCUUCCCUUCUUCCAUACCAAUUCGGCCACACUCUAUCACAUGACCCAGAAAAUUGAUCCGCUCUUGCGCAAAGGAGCAUUUUUCUCUCUUGACAUACAGCUGGUUUUCCUUCUGUUUCUGAAAAACCCUUUGAAGGUGGUCCUUGUGUUCUUCCAUUGUGGAGCUAUAAACCACUAUAUCAUCUAGGUAGACCACGACAAACUUGUCAAGGUAUUCAUUCAUUCAAGACCUGGUUCAUUAAUGUACAAAAGGUUGCAGGAGCGUUGGUAAGGCCAAAUGGCAUUACGAGGAAUUCGAAGGCUCCGUAUCUUGUGACACAGGUCGUCUUGGGCUCAUCUCCCUCUGCAAUUCAGACUUGAUAAUAUCCCGAUCCGCAAGUCUAGCUUCGAGAAAGAUUUCGCCCCGGUCAAAGAGGUCAGUGAUUAUGGGAAGUGGAUAUUUGUUGCGAAUCGUGAGCUUGUUCAAGGCACGGUAGUCAAUACACAACCGUAGACUUCCAUCCUUCUUCUUUUCUUCUGGAAAAGGACUGGGGCCCCAUACGGAGCUUUUGCAGGUCUAAUAAAUCCUGCACUCAAUAACUCAUCCAACUGUUUCCGAAGUUCAGCUAACUCCGGUGGCCCCAUACGAUAGGCAUUCUUCGCAGGGGGUUUUGCCCCUGGUAGUAAUUCGAUCUCAUGAUCAAUCAUUCUUCGCGGUGGCAGAGAUUUGGGCAAACUGUCGGGCAUCACGUCACUGUACUUCUCUAAGACACACAGAAUGUCUUUGGGGACUGUCUCCCCCGGGUUUUCCAACGACUCGAGCGGGAUAUAAAUCUUGGUUCAUCUCGAGCGAGGCCCUUCUGAAAUUGCAUGGCCGAAAUCAUUUUGAACCCCUUAGGCUGGCGAAUGUCUGUCUGUACAACGGUGGGGGCAGAUCCAGUGAUCACUAGACAUUUAGCUAAAGGCAUUGGUAUCACCUGAUGUUCAGUUCAAGCAGAAAUUCCCAUUCCCAGUACCACAUCGAAGUCAUCCAUUUUGACAACCACAAAAUCUACGGGGCCGCUCCAUCCUCCCAACUUUAUCAUCGUUCGUUUCACUAGUCCGACGAUAGGUAAGGCAGCAGAAUUCACGGCCUUCAUUUUUCCUGUAUCCUUCUCCCAACGGAGACUUAGUCGUUUGGCUUCUGCCUCUGUUAUUCAAUUGUGAGUUGCACCGGAAUCAACCAUAGUGCUCUUGGACGGUUUCUGCUUGAUCCAGGUGUCAACAUACAUUAGCCCCCUUUCUACCGGCGCAUUUGUCUCCCCUACCUUCUUCUAGAGAGACGAUAAGAAUUUCAAGGCCCCCCAAAAAAAUGCUUUUUUCCUCUGUCUGGCCAACUUCACCUUCUGCUUGACUCGACUUAUCAUCUGAAUCUGAGGUCAAAGAGGCCUGAAAGGCAUUGAAGGCGGUUCGAUUUGGACAUUCUCUUGCCAGAUGAGAUGUGGUCCCUUACAUAUUCAAGAACUGAGAGGACGAUUGUAUGAGUUCUGAUUAUUUGGUCCUCGCCAUGUGUUCCCCGUAUUUGUUUGGAAGGGCUUGCGGUCUCCGCUAGGCCGUUUGUCUCCCCCAGCUGCUUUGGGGGAAGUGGGGCGGUUACUCUUGUUUCCUCCAGAUGAGGAAUUUUGGUUACGUCUCACGUCUUGGGAGUCGUUAGACAGAUCAAAGAAUCGUUCGGCCGCUGCGUAUGCUGACGUGAGGUCUUGGACCCUUUGUUCAUAUAACUUUGUCUUUGCCCACGGUUUCAGGCCUUCGACAAAACAGAAAACUUUGUCUUUCUCUGACAUAUCACGUAUGUCUAACAUCAGCCCCGCAAACAGCUUCACAUACUCCCGAAUAUUGCCCGUAUGUUUUAGUUCACGCAAUUUCCGCCGAGCCUGAAUUUCAAGAUUCUCGGGGAAAAACUGCGAGCGGAGUUCUUUCUUCAAACUGUCCCAAGUGUCUAUUGUGCAACGCCCUUCUUGAAUGUCGACGUAACGGGAUCUCCACCAUCACUUUGCAUCCUCAGCCAGAUGCAUAGUUGCCAGCCUCACUUUGGCUUCUUCUGUGACUGUGUUUGUGGCCUUGAAGUAUUGCUCGAGGUCAAAGAUUCAAUUCUCCCAACAAAUCUUCGUUCUUAGUUAUUUUCUUCCUAGGCUUUUAGUGGUCCGAAGGCUCGACUGAAAGGAGUCCAAGAUUCAAGCUUCAUCAAUGAACAAAGGUUGAGACAGGAGCGCACUAAUGAAAUAGCGAGACUAAAAACUGAAAGAAAAAGAAAGCUUAAUAAGGGUUGAAUCAGGGACUGUUCAGGAGCAAAGAAUUUGCGAAGGCGCGAAGCGACUGUUAAGGAGUCCGUAAGGACUCAGAAAUCGUUGAAUGAAUGAGUCCUUCGCUUUCAGAGUCCUAACCUUUGUAUCCUCAUUUCUAAGGACUGAAUUCAUGUGUUAAGCAAAUUCUCUGAGAUCCUUUUUUCCUUUCUGGCUAUUUCUCGGCUUUUUUCUUGCUAAAUGUGACUUUUUCUCAUCUUUCUAUUUAAUGAAAAUAGAGAAAAAAUGACUGAUUUUUUCUCUUUUCUUGCUACUUCCCUAUGGGCAAAACCUUGCAAAAUCUUGUAUUUCCCUCCCCAUAUUAAGCAAAGAUGUCUGAAAUCUCCCAUAUUCACCUCUUUCUUUUUCAUUCCCAUUUUUUUCUUCUUUCAUUAUCGUUAAUGAGUUCAUUCUUUCUCUCAACUCCUCUUGAGAUAAUUCUUUGAGCCUUCCUGAUGGAUAGUCCUUCGGACCUGUCUUAUGGAACCUCUCCGUCGAGCCGCUUUCGCUCCUCCCAAAUAUAUAUGAUGAAUACUCGUUCGAAAGAAUAUUGAACUUGAUUUUCACUCCUUCUACGGGGUCCUCCGGACUAUGAAUCAUAUUUUCGAGAACAAGGCUCGACUGAAAGGAGAGGAGACUUCUCCUCCAUUUAAAGGAAUCAAACUCCACAGCAAAAAUGCGGUUUCUGACUCAGAUGGACAUUCUUUCUUUUCUGGACCGCGGAAGAAGACGGAGAAUCGAUGAAUAGGCGACUAGCGAAGCGAAGCCACGUAUCAAUGUAGAAAAGGGGAAGAAGAAAGAAGAAGAAUUUGCUCUUUGUCUGAUGAGAUCUGAACCUAAAAUAGUCCGGAGGCAGAAAGCGAAAGGCUAAAGGUUAGAAUAGGAUAGAGGUGCGAAUAUCUCUUCGUAUUAGUUCUUUCGGAACAGAGCAAAGAAUUAGCGAAGAGGAUCCCGAACUUCCUUCCCUCAAGAGGGACAAAGUCAGGAGUGAUGAAAGUAGAGAGAGGUAUCGGGUAUGGUAUCAUAUCUAUCCAGUUAUUCAGUAAUUUCAUAAGACUUUCGUCAGCCCCUCUUUCAGACAGGGAAUGAGAAGGAGAGUACGAGUCAGAAGUCUAAGUGCUUCCAUUCUUCCAUUAUUGAAAGAGGUCGGAAGUCGAGCUUUCUCUUUCAUAAGUAGGGUCAAGAUCUAACCAUCAGAUAAAGGCUAGGAAAGCUUUUCUGAAUAAGGCAUGAGAAGUAGUAAUGAAAGAAGUCAGGAUGAAAUGAAAGGGGCUUGCUUUCACGAAGAGGGCUAGUUAUUAGUCUCGGAAUCGGAAGAUAAAGAAAGGGAAUGAGAAAAGGUGCUAAGCCGCUCCACUUAAGUGGAUCCAUACUUCAGACAGGAAAGAAGAUAGACAUAGUGCUUGUCCAAUGAGAGACUACUACUAGGUGCAAAGAAUAUUGCUCAAGAAGUCCACCUUAUUUUCAGUUCACCAAAUAGAAUUCGAGGCGGAGGCGCAAAGAAUAUUGCGUGAUCGAAGCGUAUUUAUCAAAGAAUUAUCGAAGAUAAUCAGUCCCGCUUUUUUAGUGGAAUUCUACGGUCGGAUCAGAGAUCCCUAGGUCCUUACGAAGCUCUUUCUCGUCUGACUUAAGAGAACCUUUGGUCGAGCUCAGUCUUCGAUUUUCUUUGGCUUAUUUUCAAGAGACAGAUUUUUCAUGAUUUCUUGCUCUGAGCCAAAAGUGAAAAAUGACUAUUCUCUUUAUUCAGUAGAAAGAGAAAUUGAAAGAACUUAUUCUUUGCGAAAGCAACUUCUUCUUAGAGAAAGGAAUAAGACGAUAAGACGAUUCGGAGCACCCCCAGUUCGUGCUUUACACCAAAAAGUAGAAAAGGAACUCCUUACGGAAAAAGGCUUUUUCACAGAACCCACUACGCGGUGAGGACCUCUUUUUCACUAUACUCACCUGAACCGGGGGAAGAUGUCAAAAAGUCACUAUGAAUAAUGGCACUUUGCACCGCACAUAUAUGGAUAUAGGGGGAUCAGCCCAUUUCAUUCAUCUCAUUUCUUAGUGGGAAUGUCUUUUUUAUGACUAGGCAAGAUGGCAGGAAGAAAACUCUGUUGCGACUAAGAAUGAGUUAGGUUAUCAGCCGCUAUCCAGAAAGAGAUGAAAAACUAAGUGAAACUCUCCCGUUAUUCCGUAUCUCUUGUUCCAGAAAAGAAAGGGCAUGAUCCGUUGAGGCAUCGGGGCAGGUGUGAAUAAGCCGAGUUGGAGAUCUUUCUCUUUCAUUAUCUCUUGAGUACGAAAGGGUGCGGUUCGCGGAAGUACUAUAUCUCAUCGAGUCAAAUCAAUUUUCACUAUCUGAAUUUCAUAGAAUCCCAAUUGGUACGGCGCGCUUAGAUCUCUUGAGUAGGGCCUCCGUACUGCUUACUGCUGGAUUGAUUGACUGAAAGAUCUUCCCCUUCUCUGAAGGUAGGCAGUGAUUCCAAAACAAGGAAAAGGCACUCGCUCGCUUACCAACGAUCGCGCUAGGAAGAAGACAAGGUUGGCGGGAGGGUGUACAAUAAGGCCUUUCCUUUCGAAAAAAGGGGUUGAAUUCAUCCAUGGGCGAAUGAGAUGGUGGCCUAUUUAUCCUUUUCUUUACAUAAAGAACCUUCUUUAUCCCAGCCCGGAGAAGGCUCGAUGGCGGAUAUUCCGAUAUAAUCAGAUAAGAAGUGAGGUAGUCUUCCAAAAGACUUUUUUUCACUGAACUUCAGAAGACAAAUACCGGAAGGAGAGAUAGGAUCCGGCUUCCCCGCUCCUCUUAUCUGAAUUUUCCGAAAGAGAGACUCAUCGGCUGGAGCUUUCUUUUUUUAUGGAUUCGUCGGACCCUCCUACUGACUGGCUUCCCCGAUCGUACUCCCAUCUAAUUCCUCUGUCUACUCAUUUCUUUGAGACUCGGAUUCAACGGAGAAUGCUACCGCUCCGUGGGGACUACGGAUGGAGAUCCAUUCAGUGGAAUAAAUCAGUCCGACGUAAAGAAGCUCCGCGGACUUUGCGCUCUUCUGAACUUAUAUAAAGUCGCUUCGCUUCGCUUUCGGUAAGUAGGUUUAAGUCCUAUGAAAUUCUUAGUACUUCAGAAAGAGAAGAAGAAGAAAGCCGGAGGUCGGGAUAGACUUAUGAAAGAGAAAGAUCUCGAUUCCUCUAUGGUCUCGCUACUUUCUUCCUAUUCGGACACAUAACUUCCUUCUUCAAGAUCUCAUUCUAACUGAACCUAUUCAAGGGAUUCCUGCCGAACUCUCAGCUCAGACCCACUCCGCGGUCAAGAUCUCAGGAUUCUGCUUUGUCAACCGCUUUCUCUCAAAUUUCAUUGAUCCUAACUACGGCGACGCAAUAUUCUUUGCACCUCUCCUCCAUCUCAGUCGAGCCCAUGGAGACGCUACGAAGGAGUCGUUUUCUACCUUUCAAUUACCUUCCGAUCCGACUCAUGAAACUGGGAAUGAUGACUCCUACUCUGCCUCUGACUCAACGGGGCCCCUUUCCUGUGCUGGGCCCUCUUCGGAAAGAGAGACCUAUGACUCGUCUUCUCAGGAAAGCAUAGUAUCCCCUUCCACUCAAGAAUCGGGAAGGCCCUUGAACUCCUAACCCUACCCCCGGACCCUUUACUCGACGUUCUUGCCUACGAUUUCCGCUCGAGCAGCUUCUUACUCUUUCCCUACUGACUCCCCGGAAAGAAGCAGAGUUAGCUCCGACCCUUGCUUCCUAACCUAGGCGGUCAACCUAUUCAGACUGAAAAAAAUGAUGAAAUGGGAAAACUGAGCUCCGAUCCUGGGCCUCGCCUCUCUUUCCUCCUGACUCAUGGAGUUACUGUAGAAACCUAUGAUUCUCACAAUGAAAGCAUAAGACCUAUCAGAUAGUUCGCGCUUCGCUCAUCAGAUACUCUAUAUAGAUAGUUCGUCCCCUUUCUGACUCAACUGGGACUACUUCCUUUCCUGGGCUGGGCCCCCUUCUCCUACUUCUUAGUUCAUGGAAGCGGCUAGGCUAGUCCUACUCACUGAUUCUGAAAUGGAAAAAGGGGAGAAGAUAAGAAAAGAGCUUUAAGGGAACUGAUGGAUAGUCCGGAGGACCACUACGCGGGAAGAAAGAAUAUCCUUAGCUGCCGUGAGAAAGAAAAGCAUAUUCAAUAAAGAAAAGCUCUCUUUACUUAAUGAAAAGUUAUUAUAUCUUUGCAUUCGCAGAUUUCAGUCAUAAAAUCAAUCAAUGAACAAGUCCGAAGGUUCAAAGUCGCAUAUUGAAUUGCGCCUCCGUCCUACGUGCCAAAGAAAGGUCCAGGGUCCGGAGGAUUUAUCCGUAGGACUAUCCAUUAGAAGCAGUCCGCAGGAUUUAUCCUACGUCCGGAGUCCGGAGUCCGCAGGAUUUAUCCGUAGGACUAUCCAUUAGAAGUAGUCCGGAGGAUUUAUCCGUAGGACCAUCCGUAAUUAACCGAAGUAGGACCAUCCAUAUGGAGGGAAGGAGGACUAUCCAUAUGGAAGUAGGACUAUCCGUAAUUAACCGAAGGAGGACUAUGAACCAUAUAGCCUUUACCCACGUAGCGGUGUGACUUUAGCUCUCUCUCCCCUGUCGGCUUGAGAAAGAGUAACUAAAAUGAACCUUCUAAGAUUCCUUCCGUAACCAAGUAAAGACAUGUCUUUCCUUACUUUUGCAGAAAGGAGAAAUUCAAAUGAUCAGAUAGGAAGCAAUAGUACGUACCUCCGGCAGGACCUAGAAAAGUACCCCUCGGUGAGCUCUGCGUAACCUAGAAAGAUCCGGAAACCUUUAAGCUAACUAAUACCUUUAGACAACCUAUCAAGAACCCGCAAGAAAUAACCCGAAGGUGAGCUCUGCGCUUUUCGGUUUGGAAGCUCCCUUCAAGGGGCGGAGCGGAGCCAUCCCUCAUGACGCGGCAAAGAGGGGAAGUUCAGUACAUAAAAGUUCAAAAGUCAGCCUAAGAGUAGCUCUUCCUCUGUCUUAUCUCCCUCUCUCCCUAGUAGUCGGUAGCAUCUACCGGCUCUUCCGGGUUUGAAGGAUGUCUUAUAUGGCUCCGCUCCUUGAAGGGAGUGUAGGUUUGGGGCUUCCUUCCUACCAAGCCAAUCAGCCAAGAAUUCUGUCUUCCUCUUCGUAUAUCGGAAAAAAGUCGUCCGUAGGACGUACCAUCCGUCGGCCUUGUUCAAGGCUUAGGCCUAAGUCAAAGACGCCUCUUUCUUUCUCUAUUCAAAAAGUAGGGAGCUCUUUCCCAUCAUUCCGCUUUUGGGUUAUUGAGAGAAAGUGCAUACAUAGAAGAGUCAACUUCCUAAAGACCCAAUCUCGAAAUUCAAUCUAAACGUGAUAAAACCUCCGAAACCGCUCCGUGGGCCUGGCGACAGGAUAAUCCGGACCUCCUUCUCACUCAAAUGCGGGUAAGAGUCUUAUCUGUAUUUAUUUAUUUAAUGCCAUAAAGAAGUGGCUUUCUUUUAAGGAAUGAAGAAAGAAGGCAGGCAAUUGAUCCUUUUUUCCUUUCAAACUCAGCUCUUUCUCGUCCGUGAGAGAGUUUAUAGACCGAGAAAAGAUCUUUUUUGACUGAUUUUUCAUUCUUUCUUGCUGCAUUAUUAUAUGAGCCAAAAGCGAAAAAUGACUAUUGGAUCGGACGAGGUCAAAAGUGCAAAAUGACUAUUCUCUUUCGCUAAUACCUUCAAAAUACUGAAGAAAGUUACCCACUACGCGGUAGAUUUCAGAGUCCCAACAAGAAGUUUCAGUUCCAUAAAAGAGUCAGUCCAAAGGACGGGUUCAAGCCUUCUUGGAUAAGUCUCAGACAGCAUUUGAAGAUCGGGACCGCUACGUGGGCACCCCCACACAUCCGUACUAACCCGCUUAGCUCAGAGUCAGUUCGGCGGGAGGUCUCGGGGAAUCUUUCUAUCCUUUAGAGGAAGCUGCCUGCCUGCUUCGUAUUCUAAGUUGCAGAAGAGUCAGUAGCUGUCUCACUUCUUCAAUCUCCAUCUUUCUAUCCCGUAAGCGAGAGGAAGCCCAGAGACCGGGGAGGGUCCGAAGCCUCAUCCAGUUCGUAGGACGCUGCCGUUGCUGCUUUACCGAGUGAAGGAGGUGCGGUUCUUUCCCGAGGGAGAGUCAUAAGACUCGAGAAAAAAAAGAAGAUUUGGAAACUUUAAGGAAGGAAAGCCUACCAUAAAGAAAAAGCAGGAAGAUGAAGUUCAUAUUCCAUAAAUCAGUCCAAAGGACGGGUAGAGAAUGAGUGAAGAAGUCCCCUAGUAGAGUAGAUAUGGAGGGAAGGAGCUUAGUUUCAUAAGUGGCUCUUUCUGUAUCGGCUGAUGUCUGGUCGCAUCAAUCAGCUCGCUUGGGAUCUUAGGGCUCCCCUGAAACCCUGCUCUGGGGAUUCAAAGAAGAAGAGCAGGUCGAAGAAGAUUAAGAUAAGAGGAAAGGGUAGGAGCGGAAGACGGAGCGGUAGGGGAUUUCUACCACUGCAACCGCUACGUGGGCUUCUCAUCCUAACUUAAGUGGAAUAAAUCAGUCCUUCGGACUCUCAAAGUACUAUUUUCUCUAAAUAUGCUCUAAUUCUUAUUCAAUGGCUCUUCAAUCUAUUGAUUUGACUGCUAAUUCCCGGCAGCAAACCCUGUCCCCUUGGAUGCGCGCAAACCCGGUAGGAAAAGGCGAUGCAUACUAUUUGACUCGGGCUUGUUUUCAUUGCAUUUCCCCCGUAUUUCUGAACUCUCAAAGGGUUCUUAGACCAGAGUAGAUGCGCCGUAGCAGAGGAGAAAGGUGAGAGUGAGUUACGAGGCCUGGUGGCGGCGGUAGCAUAAGUUCUUGCUUCAGUUGCUUAGCCCACUCCGCGCAGUCCGAAUGGAAGAAAAGGCAUUGGCCGUCGGCCUGGCUUAUUUCUCAAAUUUGAGCUGAACUUUUCAUUGACUUCUUUCGACCAGAGUGAAAACUUUUCUACCCACUCCGCGGUCACGAACCUCACGACCAAGAGAAAGAUCUCAGGCUGAAACGGGGACAACUACUUCGCCCACUUAUGAAAGAUCAGACUCCCUCUUGCCCCAGGGGGAGGCAGGCACAUUGGAGUGGUUCGGAUCAAUAUGGAAUAUUUCAUUAUUUCCCCACGCCCCACCAUUUUUCACACUUGAAAAGAUUGAAUUUUCCCGGCGGUCGGACCACACUUCUUGAGCUACGAGGUUCUUGAGUUCAGUCGCCCUGAUCUUGUAGCAUCCCUUGAAGUUUCUCUCGUUGAAGUAGCCGUAGUUCUCGCAGAGGCUUAUCUUGAAGACAAGUUGAAAGAAGUCCACGUAGCGUUAAUGCACUCAAUUCACGAGAAUCUCUAUAAUGAUCAAAGAUUUUCCAUCUCCAAACUGACUAAAAAAAAGAGUAAACUCCACACGAGGCCGACGAAGGACCCAAGACAGAUUCAAACUUGAAGGCAGUGCCCGAAUUAGCUUUUGAGGACGCUCUUGUCCCGAAAAUCUUCUUUGAACCUCGUCACAGUUCUUCUUUAAGAAGUGGCAGAUUCAGAAGCUCUUGCUUAGUUUCGCCAAAUGGAGAUUGGACCUCUAACUAACAAGGAUAGAAGGAGCGAGACCGUCCUCCGGACUCAUGAAUUAAUAUGUUCGGGAGGCUCAAAGAAUUAUCGAAGAAAGAAUUUGAGGUCCUAGAAAUCGAUUAUUUUGACACCAUUGAAUUUCUGAUUUCAGAGUCAGGUCCAGAUGAAAAAUAGCAUUUUACCGGGAGCCAUAUUUUCUUCUUAUAGAGUGAACGAGGUCUUAAUACGGGACGCAUACUUCACUCUUAUUCCGGUAGAAGUUCAGUGAUUCAACGUGGUCUCAUUCCCCGGUAAAAUCACCAUGCAAACUGGGGUCUUUCUCCCUCAUCCAGCGAGUAGGACGCCUAAGAAAGGGGUAUUAUCUCUUCUGAGAUCGGUCCGCGGAGGCGCAAAGAAUAUUGCGAUGCGAUUGAGAUUCCAAAAAGUAGCUAUUACUUUGAGAGGUCGUCGCCCUUGCAGAAGUAGGAGGAGCAGUCUUCCGUCGCCCACCUAGCGUGGAAGGGUAGCAGUUGAGAAAGAGAGUAUAUGAUAGAAUAGAGUCUUCGUCUUCGAUCGAUCGGAUCGCUCCUUAUAAGGCGGGCCUACAACUUUCUUUAUCCCAUUUCUGACUCGUCUUAGUCGAUGCGAUCUUUACUUAUUUCACGAACAUUUCAACCCACAAUAUCCCCUGUCCGCAAUAUUCUUUGCACCUCCUUCACAGGAAAACUAGAAAAAGAGCAAGGCGCAAAGAAUUUGCGGGAUCCUUCCCAGCUCGUCGAGCAGCGUCUUUGCUUUGACCCGCAGUAAACAUAUGUCAUAAAGAGCCUGAAAUACGGGGAAAAUGGAAUGAAUUCACGUCUUUGAUUGUCAUGAAAUCAUUCUCCAUCUCUCUCCUCCAUCUGAAUGGGACUGAAGAAGAAGGUUCCGCUCUCAAGAGAAAAGGAAGGAUAAGCGAUCGGAGACCUAGGCUACUGGAUCGGUUUUCCGGGAACACAGAAGGUUAGGAAGCCCGGUAAGACCCCGGAAGAGGAAAAAGAAAGUAUGGGAUAGGAGCUAGGGACCCGAUCCGAAGCUCAGAGGCGGAGGAAGUUGAAGGAUCUCCAUCCGAGCCCACGGAGCGCUUUUCAAUCUUCUUUGAACGACUGGUCGCUGAAAGAGAAGUCGUAGUUCGAUCAGCGUGACCACUCUCUUUAUCUCUUAGUCAAAAGAAUUCCACUUCCACGUUCUCCUUCAACCGGAGGAAAAUGUACUGAGAGAUUGAAGGUAUUAAUUGCAGGAGGUCUUGUAGUUAACGAACUCUUCUUCUAAACCGGGAAGGGGUCGGACAUCAGACACCAGGAAAUUCACCAACCCUUGUUCAGUCAAAGCGUCGGUCGGCAUGGGAAGAUCAGCCCACCUAGGGAAUGAGGUCUUUCUGAUUAUUCAUUAAUAAUGAGAAGAUGAAAUACGGGAUUCAUAGGACAAAGAAAGUCAAAGGGUCGGCGAAGACAAAGGCCCCACCAACCAGUGUGAGAGCCAAAGAGGAGGCAGGCAGAUAGGGAAGGAUUGGAUCUCAACGGCUUACCCAAUGCUGCUAAGCCCUCGACCAGAGACUGAUAUGUGCUUGAUUUCAUUCUUCUCAUAACGGAAGGAUCCCUGCCUCGUGCGCCCUAUCUCUUCUUAUGUAUUCCUCGAGUUUUCUCUCUUUCGAGAAAUACGAUGUUAGUCCUUUCACUACGUAAAGUGCAGAUAUGAGGACCCUCCAAAAUAAUUGAACCGAAGGUGAAAAGAAUAUUGACGAGACUUCCAGGCUGCGAGAAGGACUAUCCAUUAGAGAAUUUGACUUUGGAGGUGCAAAGAUCUAUGGCCUAAUUAUAAGGGGUCCAGAUUACUAUCCAUUAGGGAAUUUGAGAUCAUCUGGACCUUUUUCAAACUACCGAGAAAUUGAGAAUGAGUUCUUCUUCAAUGUAGAUAGAGAAGGAUAAUUAUUACAUUUCGAAAUAGAGAAUGAGAUAAGGAAGAUUUUUUUCUUUCUUCGUUAAUGCAUUGAUGAAAUGGGAAUCAUCUCUAUUAUUUCAUGCCAUUGAUUUCAUUCAUUCUUCACUGACUAUGAUAGUGCAACGACGAAUCGCAUCUUUUCUUUCAUGCUUUGUUCAUGAUUUCAUUGGGUGGGAAUCUGAUAGUUCAUGCUUUCCGAAUGCUUACUGAAUCUUGAGUUCAUUCAUUCAUUCUUUGUUCGUCAGUUCUGAAUUCUGCUUUGAAUUGGACGUGAAUUUCUGGAACGAUAGCUCCGAAGAAGAAGAUCGGCGAAGGGAAAGCAAUCGAGACGAGGCGCCUUAUCACGGGUAGGCAGACUAAACCUCUUUCUCGUGAACUUUCUAGAAUAGAAGACAAAUACCACAUCAAGGUGACAGGAUUCGAACCUAUGGCCCUCUGUACCCAAAACAGAUGCGCUGACCAGACUGCGCUACACCUCGACCCCAUACCAUGAAGAGAAUGAACUCAAUAAGAACGAGAUAGUAGUACCGGAACUCCGAAAGAGAGAACUACUCAUGAAAAGGGCAAGGUCGACUUAUGACUCUCCUUUCCUCCAUCCACCAGUCGAUACUUCUUCGGUCCUAGCCUGUAUUCGACUUCCUUCUCGUUCAUAAACUCACUCUCACUUAAUUAAUUAAUUCCAUCUCGCCUUCUCGUACUUAUGAAACUCACCGCUCCGUGGUCCUCUUACCGCUACGUGGGCACUAACCUCAUAAGAACCGGGACAUAAGAAAGGGAUCUCAUGCCGGGAUCAGAGUACGAGCUACUUCAACUCAACCGUUAACAAGACAUGAGAAAGAGACCUACGGGAUGUUCCGGAGCUAACUCAAGAACUCAAGAAAGAGGCGCUUCUAAUCUCAAAUUCUUUGAGCCUCCUUCCUUCCAUAUGGAUGGUCCUACGGAUAAAUCACCUGGACCUUUCUUUGGCACUGCGGACUGCUUCGGUUAAUUACGGAUGGUCCUACUUCUGUUAAUUACGGAUGGUCCUACUUCGGUUAAUUACGGAUGGUCCUACGGAUAAAUCCUCCGGACUACUUCGGUUAAUUACGGAUGGUCCUACUUCCAUAUGGAUAGUCCUACGGAUAAGAAUCCUCCGGACCCUGGACCUUUCUUUGAUGGUCCUCCGGAUAAAUCCUGCGGACUGCGGACUCCGGACCCUGGACCUUUCUUUGGCACUCCGGACCGGUCUUAAUACUCCUAACGGAGGGUGCAAAGAAUUUGCGAAGAAGCCACCGAAGCCAAUUAAGGGCGAAGGCACCGCUACAAAUACAAAGUACAAAUCAAAGUACAAAGGCGCAAAGAAUAUUGCCUGGAACUUGAAUAAGGAGCUAAGCUGCUUUUGCUUUAGAGAGUUGAGAAGGAGGUUUCUUCAUUCUUUACAUAGAAUAGAGAGAGAGACUGACAUCUUCCUCAGUGAUGAGACCACUGAACCUUCUUAUACUCAAAUAGAGAGAAAGCCACUUUGACGACAAUAUCUCUAGUGAUUCAGAUUCAAGAUGAGAGUUCGGAACUUCUCUAGAACUUUUUUCGACAAGAUAGUGAAAAAGAAGAAAUUUCAGCCUAGGAGCUUUCCAGACCCACGGGAUCGGGACUAAGCCCUUGCUUUCUCUUAAUGCCGCCCUUGCUGCUUAGGCAGGGAGCCCACGGAGCGGACUCGUCCUUUCGAUUUGUUUUGGACAAGAGAAAGAGGUCUCUCUUUCGGCUUCAAGGCCUUACUCGGCUUCAGUCUCUGAUGCUUCAGUCUUAGAUGUGUCCGAAGACAAAUCCCCAAUUAACGAGAUAAUCCCUCUCUAUUCGGAAAGAUCCCAAUUCAAAGACUCGGUCGAUCGGCUUCUAACCUGGCUCUCUCUCUGAAGAGCCCAUGUUCGUGCUGUGCUCGCUGUGCUAAGGAGAGGGUCAAAGAAUUUGAGAAGCCGCAGACUUUGUAGCGGAAGAAGAAAAAGAACUUAUCCGGAUAGAAUCAGAUUUUGAAUAUCAUCAAAUCAUCAUCCUAUGAAUUCUCGGUACCCAAAAGAAGGGCCUACCGCCCCGUGGGAGGAGAGUAUGAAAGUAGCUCACACUGAAAUAGGAAGACGUACGAACCAUCAGUCAGAGCACGAGGGGCGAACGAGAGGAUCAGAGGAAAGCGCUCGACCGCCCCGUGGGGGUCUUAGGAGAAAGAUGAGUCACUCCAGUUCCAACUUCGUAUCUUGACUUUUUCUGCUUUGUUCCCUCCUUCUAAUCUCUAAGUUUCCUAAGAAAUAGGGAGUGGAUCUUUCCCUGAUUUAAAGGAGAGUUCUACGACAGAGGAGCUAUAUAAAGCCGCUUGACCGAAAGGGCUCCACCGCAGAGGCAGAGGAAGUUGAAUCAGUAGUUGAAGGAUAGGCUUUCUCUAGUAAAGCUUUUUUUGUUCAGAGGAGAAGUAGUAGUUCGAUCGGGAAUGAUCAAUCUCUCUUGACCAGUCUGAGAACUCUGAAUCCAAAGACUGUUUUUGACUUAUUCCGCAGAUGUCAAUGUUUCUGACUCAGCUGGUCCGAAGGCUAGGUUCAUACGGAUAGUCCGGAGGACGGUUAGUAGGAGCAAAGAGCGUGGAACUUAAUAAAGUCUUAUGGAACUGAAUAAAGAGGAAUUGAACCCUUGUUCAUUGUACUCAAAAUUCAUCUGCUAGAUUUCAGAUUAAUCUGCGGAGGGAAAUACAUGAUUUUGCUAGGUUUUGCCCAUAGGGAAGUAGCAAGAAAUCAUGAAAAAUCAGUCAAAAUUAGACAAUUAUCGUUAUUUAUCAAGAUUAACAAAAGUCCUAUUUUGCUUCAAAAAAGCCGGGAAAUUGCAAUGAAAGAAUCAAGCCUAGGCGCAAAGAAUAUUGCUCAAAGAAAUUCACAUUGUUUGAUUAUAGUUUGUGGUCCGGAGAAAGAGAGGUCUAUUCUUUAUUCCCAAUGAACAAGGCUCAAAGAAUUUGAGGAUUCUUUCAUUCUCGUUAAUUCGCUUCUUUUCUUUUUUCUUUUCGUCAACUCAUAUUACAUUGAGCCUAUUCAAUGCAUAUUUCCGCAAUAUUCUUUGCGCCUUUCUUUUUUUCUUUCUGUUUAAGUUCUUCUUCGAUGAUCAUUGGGUAUUCUUUGAGCUAUAACCUUGCUUUUCACUCAAUUAAAGGGUAGAAAAGAUCUUUCGCAAAUGAAGAAAGAAGAGAGGCGAGAGGCCUUGGCAAAUCAUGCUUACGAAUGAUGAGAAUGAUGCUACAACCCGUCCUCAGGCUCUAUAUUCUGUCUCAACAGAUGAUGACUCAAGAUCUAAUUCCGCUGCCUAGCAAAUCAACUUCCGAUCGAUCCCGAUCUUUUCACUCUUCCCCGACCGACGGGGAUUCCUCUACCCCUGCCUCUGAUUCCGAUUCCUAAACUGAGAAUGCUAACUCAGACUCGAUGACUCUUGAAGUUAUUAAUUCAAUGAAAGAGAGAAGGCGCCAUAAGACAGGGAUAUUGUUAGGAGUUGAGAAAAAAUAAAGAGAAAAAGAAUGAGACAGAAAACUUUUCAUGAUCUUCUUAGCUUUCUUAUCUUAUUUCAUCUUCUAACUAUCAUCAGCAAAGGUCAGACUCCUCGUCUUCACCCCCCCGAAUUCAUCCUCCUUCUACGUCAAAGAAAACAAAGGCGCAAAGAAUUUGCGAAUAAAGUCAUUCAAUUACUCCGGACUAAAAUCACUCAAUAUUCUUGCAAAUAUCUUUCUAUUUGACUCUUCGCAAAUUCUUUGCUCCCCUAAUUAAGCUACGGAGGACGAGUAGUCUUCUUCCACGCGAUUUCUCAUUCUUUGAAUGAUUCUCAUCCUUCUACCCCGAGAAAAUGAGAUUCAAGGUCGGUCUUUGAGUUGAAGAAGAAGCAAGGGUCUAGGAUUACUAGGUCCUUAUCUUCUUCUUUCAGUAUUCAGUCAUUGUAUUUCAGGAAUAAGCUGAGGCAGAGGAAUCACUCGAGAGCUAAGAGGCACAAAGGAAAGCGCUCGACCGCCAUUGUAUUUCAGGAAUAAGCUGAGGCAGAGUAGGAGUCAUCAUUCCCAGUUUUUCUGUAAAGGAAUAUGCUAACCACUUAGAGAAGUUUCAGUUCUUUCUUGUGAUCAAUUCAUUCUCAGUUCGUCAAGCCUGAUGCCAGCGGGACGGUAUCGCAGUCUCGGAAGUCGGAAUCAAGGUAAUCAUCAGUCGAGACCCCAA
rnacentral:lncRNA from 1 species